rnacentral:rRNA from 1 species
UACGGAGGGAGCUAGCGUUGUUCGGAAUUACUGGGCGUAAAGCGCACGUAGGCGGCUUUUUAAGUCAGGGGUGAAAUCCCGGGGCUCAACCCCGGAACUGCCCUUGAAACUGGAGAGCUAGAAUCUUGGAGAGGCGAGUGGAAUUCCGAGUGUAGAGGUGAAAUUCGUAGAUAUCAGGAAGAACACCCGUGGCUAAGGCGGCUCUCUAGUACGGUACUGACGCUGAGACGCGAAAGCGUGGGGAGCGAACAGG